rnacentral:rRNA from 1 species
UACGGAGGGUGCAAGCGUUAUCCGGAUUUAUUGGGUUUAAAGGGUCCGUAGGCGGAUUUGUAAGUCAGUGGUGAAAUCCCGCAGCUCAACUGUGGAACUGCCAUUGAUACUGCAAGUCUUGAGUGUAGUUGAAGUAGCUGGAAUGAGUAGUGUAGCGGUGAAAUGCAUAGAUAUUACUCAGAACACCAAUUGCGAAGGCAGGUUACUAAGUUACAACUGACGCUGAUGGACGAAAGCGUGGGGAGCGAACAGGAUUAGAUACCCUGGUAGUCCACGCCGUAAACGAUGCUCACUCGUUUUUGGGGCGCAAGCUUCAGAGACCAAGCGAAAGUGAUAAGUGAGCCACCUGGGGAGUACGUUCGCAAGAAUGAA